rnacentral:rRNA from 1 species
AAAGGAGGGGGCCUUCGGGCGUAAGGUACGUGCUAAUCCGCCGGGAUGAUAAACCGGUCCCCCGCAAUAAGGCCCGACAGGCCGAGGUGCGGGGGGGCAGUCCCCCCCGGGGGCUGCUGGUGUUGCGGGGUCGAUUCCGGCCCCGCUAAUGCUGUGAUGCCCUUAGAUGUUCUGGGCGACACGCGCGCUACACUGACACAGCCAGCGAGUCCUUCCUUGGCCGAGAGGCCCGGGUAAUCUUGUGAAACUC